AUGGUUCGUUGGUUUACAAAUGGCCGGUCUAAGCCCGCCGCCGCUGUUUUCACGCCUCCGUGGUCGGGCCGGGGUGGCGGCGGGCUGGUUGGUCGAAGCCUGCUGCCACUGUUUCCGCUCCUCCGUGGUGGGGGCCGGGGUGGCGGCGGGCUGUGCAGAGUACCAGACUUGCUGAGCCUGGGGAAGAGCUUGGAAGAGGAGACAAACCUUUUUGCUCAGUUUAUUCUCGUUGUUGUUGUUCCGUUUGCAUCCUUUUGCUUCUUCGGGGUUGAUUUUUGCACUGCUGGUUUUACGCUUUGGGGGGCAUUGCUCCUGCCUAUAGCUGCCAUGGAUUUCUGUUUUGCAGGAACUGUUUGCUUCGCUUGGCGCAAACAAGAUUCUCACGUGGAUGGAUGA
rnacentral:rRNA from 1 species